GAUGAACGCUAGCGGCAGGCCUAACACAUGCAAGUCGAGGGGUAACUAGAGUGAUAGCAAUAUUACUUUGGCUUGACCGGCGCACGGGUGCGUAACACGUAUGCAACCUACCUUAUACUGGGGAAUAACUUCGAGAAAUCGGCGCUAAUACCCCAUAACAUUGCGAAGAGGCAUCUCUUUGCAAUUAAAGCUCCGGCGGUAUACGAUGGGCAUGCGUCCAAUUAGCUAGUUGGUGAGGUAACGGCUCACCAAGGCUACGAUUGGUAGGGGUUCUGAGAGGAUGAUCCCCCACACUGGUACUGAGACACGGACCAGACUCCUACGGGAGGCAGCAGUGAGGAAUAUUGCGCAAUGGACGAAAGUCUGACGCAGCCAUGCCGCGUGCAGGAUGACGGCCCUAUGGGUUGUAAACUGCUUUUGUACGGGAAUAAACCCUUCUACGUGUAGGAGGCUGAAGGUACCGUGAGAAUAAGCACCGGCUAACUCCGUGCCAGCCGCCGCCGUAACAC
rnacentral:rRNA from 1 species